AGAAGAGUGUUUUUCCCCCUUUCUUGGUGUUGAAACUUAGAGGGCUAGAAGAUAUGAGUCAGCAAGCAUAAGUGAUCAAUAUCUGACUGUCACAGCACUGGCAACUCAGGAGAGUACUCAGAAGGCCCUCUUUAAAGUGAGGAAUGAAGGAGAAAGUUAUCAACUAUUCCUUACUGAGGCCCUUCCUUUUCCGAGGAGAUAAGAAUUGAGGUUGCUGCAGAUGCGUAUGGAUUCACCACCGGUAACAAGACCAGCAUGACAGAAGCCCACAAUGGAUACAGAACAACUGAAGGAGGAUGUUAAUUUCAGAGAGUAUAACUAGAGUUCACACAACAUGAUUCAAAUUAGCCAACUAAAGAAAGAUUCUACAGGAAUAAACACUUAAACAAAUCAAAGAGCCUAAUGUGUCUGCUCAGGAAUUAAUUAUUAAAUGGUUACUAGGCAACAAGCAUAAAUACCUUUAAAGGAAAAUCUCAUUCAGUCCACUCCUAGCAGCACUAUGAGGUAACAAUUCUCAUUUAUAGGUGAGGAAAUUGAGACUUGAGGAACCUCUGUGACAUGUCCAAAAGCUCGUGGCUCUUAGAAGUUGACAGACUUUUAGAAUCGUUUUAAAAUUAAAUUGGUGGGAAUGUAAAACAGUGCAGCCAAUGUGGAAAACAUUAAAAAUAGAAUUGCCAUAUGAUCCAGCAAUUAUACUUUUAGGUAUAUACCCCCAAAAUUGAAAGCAGGGUAUAGAAGAGAUAUGGACACAGCUGUGCUCACAGCAGCGCCCACCAAAGCUAAAAGGUGAAACAACCCGUGUGUCCACUGAUGGAUGCGUGGAUAAGCAAAAUGUACUGUAUACAGACACGGAAUAUUAUUCAGCCUUAAAAACAAAGGGAUGCAGGAAUGCAUGCAGGAAACUGAGGACAUUAUGUUAAUCGCAUAAACGACGAAUAAUCUGUGAUUCCACUUAUAUGAGGCCCCUGUAGUAGCCAAAUACAUAGCUAGAGAAGGUAGCAUGAUGAUUGCUAGAGGCUGGAGUUGGGUAAAGUAGGGAGUUAUUUAAUGGGUACAGAGUGUCAGUUUCACAGGAUGAGAAGAGCUUUGGAGAAUAGAUGCACAGCAGUGUAGAUAUGCUUAACACUACUGAACUAUACACUUAAAGCCAAUUGAGAUGGUUAAUUCUCUGUUAUGUUUAUUUUGCUACAGUUUUAAAAAACUUGACACAAGUACCUGAGUCCGUAUUAGGUGACCCAUAAAUGGUACCAUUCUUGUUGUUGUCUACCAGUUUCUUUUUAGUAUGGUUAAUUUUAUUCAGGUCCUAGAAUCUGGUGGAAUUGAGUGAAAUAACUAACUUGAGUUUCUGAACCUUCACUCAUGAAUGCUUCAAUAAAUUGUUAUUGUUUAUGAA